rnacentral:tRNA from 1 species
AAGAAUUUAAGUUAAAAAAACUCUUGACCUUCAAAGCCAAAAAUAGAAAAUUUUUCUAAUUCUUA